UUGAACGCUGGCGGCAUGCCUUACACAUGCAAGUCGAACGGUAGAGGAGCAAUCCUCGAGAGUGGCGAACGGGUGAGUAAUGUAUCGGAACGUGCCCAGUAGUGGGGGAUAGCCCGGCGAAAGCCGGAUUAAUACCGCAUGAUACCUGAGGGUGAAAGCGGGGGAUCGCAAGACCUCGCGCAAUUGGAGCGGCCGAUAUCAGAUUAGGUAGUUGGUGGGGUAAAGGCCCACCAAGCCGACGAUCUGUAGCUGGUCUGAGAGGACGACCAGCCACACUGGGACUGAGACACGGCCCAGACUCCUACGGGAGGCAGCAGUGGGGAAUUUUGGACAAUGGACGCAAGUCUGAUCCAGCCAUGCCGCGCGCGGGAAGAAGGCCUUCGGGUUGUAAACCGCUUUUGUCAGGGAAGAAAAGGGUGUUUCUAAUACAGACGCCUCAUGACGGUACCUGAAGAAUAAGCACCGGCUAACUACGU
rnacentral:rRNA from 1 species